rnacentral:piRNA from 1 species
UGGUGGAUCUGUUGGAGAAAAUCCUCCAGG